GGGAGUGUCGCCUAAGGGAAUAGGGUAUCGAUCUUCUAAAUCGAGCGAUGUAGGUUCGACUCCUACCACUCCUGCCA
rnacentral:tRNA from 1 species